GAGUUUGAUCCUGGCUCAGAACGAACGCUGGCGGCAGGCUUAACACAUGCAAGUCGAGCGCCCUAGCAAUAGGGAGCGGCGCACGGGUGCGUAACGCGUGGGAAUAUGCCUCAUGGUACGGAAUAACACAGAGAAAUUUGUGCUAAUACCGUAUGGUUCCUUAGGGAUAAAGAUUUAUCGCCAUGAGAUUAGCCCGCGUAGGAUUAGCUAGUUGGUAGGGUAACGGCCUACCAAGGCGACGAUCCUUAGCUGGUCUGAGAGGAUGAUCAGCCACACUGGAACUGAGACACGGUCCAGACUCCUACGGGAGGCAGCAGUGAGGAAUAUUGCACAAUGGGGGAAACCCUGAUGCAGCCAUGCCGCGUGAGUGAUGAAGGCCUUC
rnacentral:rRNA from 1 species